UAGGCCCACCAAGGCACGAUCGGUAGCCGGACUGAGAGGUUGAACGGCCACAUUGGGACUGAGACACGGCCCAGACUCCUACGGGAGGCAGCAUG
rnacentral:rRNA from 1 species